UCUUCUUCUUCAACCCAUGUCCACCCAAU
rnacentral:sRNA from 1 species